rnacentral:rRNA from 1 species
GACGAACGCUGGCGGCGUGCUUAACACAUGCAAGUCGAACGGAAAGGCCCCCUUGUGGGGUACUCGAGUGGCGAACGGGUGAGUAACACGUGAGUAACCUACCCUUGACUUUGGGAUAACUUCAGGAAACUGGGGCUAAUACCGGAUAGGAGCUCCUGCUGCAUGGUGGGGGUUGGAAAGUUUCGGCGGUUGGGGAUGGACUCGCGGCUUAUCAGCUUGUUGGUGGGGUAGUGGCUCACCAAGGCCUUGACGGGUAGCCGGCCUGGGAGGGUGACCGGCCACAUUGGGACUGAGAUACGGCCCAGACUCCUACGGGAGGCAGCAGUGGGGAAUAUUGCACAAUGGGCGGAAGCCUGAUGCAGCAACGCCGCGUGCUGGAUGACGGCCUUCGGGUUGUAAACCGCUUUCGCCUGUGACGAAGCGUGAGUGACGGUAAUGGGUAAAGAAGCACCGGCUAACUACGUG